rnacentral:rRNA from 1 species
AUGGAUGAUCUGGUUAGCAGCUCAUCUUUGAAGAGUGUCCUCAGCUGCAGUGAAGCGGAGGCUCAGCCGGAGGAGAGUUCCUGGACCGAUUACUUUGUGGAUUUCAUGAUGUCCGAGGAGGAGAAGAGACAAGGGGCCUCAUAUUGCAGUUUUGAUCAGGAGGAGGAGGAGGGCUCUAUGAUCUCCGAUGCCGCCUCCCUCGCUCCGGCGGCGUUGGCAGAUAGGUACAAGGGGCUCAAGAAGCUCAAGAAGAAAGUCUUCAAGGCCCUGGAUCAUGAUGAUUCCUUGGAGGAUACUGCAAGCUCUCCUGUCAAUAGCCCUAAGGUCAGUGCUUUGUCACAGCUGGAAUUCAGCCCUAAAAGAAGGUGCAAUGUUACGGACCUCGCCAAGGGGGCUGGGAUUGGCAACGAUUACGGGAGAGACGGAAUGGACUGUGAAGAUGCAGAUGCGGUGAUGGAAGGAGUAAGAUUUCUGGAUCAAAGCCAGAGGGGUAUAACUCCAUGUGCAGAGCUCAAGGACAAGGGGCUUUGUUUGGUUCCGUUGUCCAUGUUGCUGAACUACCAGGGCUAA